AGACGGUGCAGGGCCGGAGAAGCACCUUCACUCCCAGCCUGCGCCCCGAUGCUGCGCGUUCUGUGCCUCCUGCGCCCCUGGAGGCCCCUUCGGGCCCGCGGCUGCGCUUCCGACGGGGCGGCCGGGGGCUCAGAGAUCCAAGUGCGCGCCCUGGCGGGUCCGGACCAAGGCUGUAGGUUCCAUGAGGACAGGCCUUGAGUCUGUCCUGGUCUCUGGAAUCAUGGUGUCUAGUAGAGGCCAGCACACAGCAAAUAUAUAAAUGUACAAAUGAGUGAAUGAAGAGAAUCUGAUUGGCCUUAAGGAACUUACGCACUUAAAAUAAUUGGGCAGAAGAGAAGCAGUGAAGGAGUGCAGAGGCAUCACCUGAAAGGUAGGAGGAAGGAGAAUGGGGGCCUGCCAAAGCCAAGGCAGAUACGUGUCAUUAUGCAUCUGUGUAAACCCACAGAGUGUACACCACCAAGAGCGAACCCCAGUGUACACUAGGGCCCCCGGGUGGCGACAGUGCAUCAGUGUAGGUUCGUCAGUUGCAACACGUGCCUCUGGUG
rnacentral:sRNA from 1 species